rnacentral:lncRNA from 1 species
AGAAGCUGUGGCUGGCCAGGCCCUCCCCCAACAGAGGGAUCCCUCGCCUUUGCUAGGCACAGGCAACCUGGGUCCCUCACUCAGGGGUAUGGAAGGACAGCCUUUCCUGUCCGGGGCAGAGAGUGUCUCCUCCCUGGGCCAGCCUCAGAAGCCAGGGUUGGGGGUGGGGAGGUGCAGAGGCUGAAGAGGGGUCCCUGGCCUUGGUCGCUGGAGUCGUCCUGGCAGGAGGGGCUCUCUCCCCUCAACAAUCCGGAUGGUAGGGCCUCUGCCUUUCGUCCUCGGGAUUCCGAACGCUGCCCCCACCCCACCCCCACUGCGUCCACUCUCCAGCCGCAGGGGAGGGGAGGAGGUCGACGCCGGGUCCUCAGGCCGCCGCUGGGGGAGCCGGCUCCGGUCGCUGGGACCCUGGACUCCGGCUCCCCGGCUCCCGCUGCUCCGCCCCCUCCUGCGCCUGCGCGGGCGCCGUUCGCUACGCAAAUUGCUCUCAGUCUAGCCCUUGCUCCGCAGCCCUGCGCCGCGCCCGGGGCGGAGCGGUUCGAGAAUUGGCGCGAGCUGCGCAGCCGGCGGGCGCCAGGGGUUACGAGAGGCGGGAGGCGACCGUGAGGCUCUGGCCGCGCUGUAUCCGGCCCGCGCCGGAGUGGGCCGUGCCCGGGGCCAGCGGCCCUUGCUUGUUUGGGGGACCGCCAGUUACCAUGCUUCUCUUCUCCACCCCCAAAUCGAGAUCGUGCCGCCCGACCCGGGGCGGUAACGACUUCUCUUCACCCGAUCUCUGAAGGAAACUUCCGCCCUCAGCCAAGAUGGCCUCAGAGGCCGCCCCACCCCACCCAAUCCCGGCCUUUAACUCACGGGUCCCACAGCCCGCCAGCCGACGCCCUGGCCGGCGGCGGUUCCUGCUCACCUGGCCCGCCGCCUGCCAGGCGUGAGGCCCUGCGAGUCCUAUGGUCACCCUGACAGGGGCCUCUGUCCUUUCUGUGUCGGGGCAGUCAUCCUGCCAGGGUGGAGGCUCCCUCGCUUAUCUCGAGUGCUCCCGCGUUGGCGCGGGG